rnacentral:rRNA from 1 species
CACGUAGGGGGCGAGCGUUGUCCGGAUUUAUUGGGCGUAAAGAGCUCGUAGGCGGCUCGGUAAGUCGGGUGUGAAACCUCCAGGCUCAACCUGGAGACGCCACCUGAUACUGCUGUGGCUAGAGUCCGGUAGGGGAGUGUGGAACUCCUGGUGUAGCGGUGAAAUGCGCAGAUAUCGAGAGGAACACCAGUGGCGAAGGCGGCGUUCUGGACUGCAACUGACACUGAUAAACGAAAGCCAGGGUAGCAAACGGG